GGCCAGUUGGUGACAAAUGCUGCAUACUCCAGCAUAUCUCUGUUCGUGUCCCAUCACAACUACCCUGGAGGCCGGGGGGUGCAGGUACUGCAUAAACUAGUACCAUCUACAUCAGAUGUCUGUUCAUAUUGAUGUAUUUGCUGCCCAAACUGGAGUGUCAUAUUUCUUAGAACUGAACAGAAACUGGAGGUAUGACAAGAGAGAAGACAUUGGCCCUGUACACCCUGAUAUGAAGACAUACUCCCAUGUUCUGAUGGAGGCCAAUGCCACCCACAUUGCACUACUCAGACUCCCACGUGCCUUUGGCCUUCAUCCAAGGUUACAGCAACAUGACCUUGAAUGCCUUUCGGUUUCCUUUCUUCAGUAUAAACUUGGGAGACAAACUGGUGUUGCGAGAAAGAGUACCUGACCCAGAGCAUCCAAGUUGAACUGAGGAAAGUGAUGUAGUUUUUCAGGAUUUAGUAUUUUCUUAUGACCAAAUUGUAAAUAACUAAAACUAAAUUGCAGUGUAUUGAGUUCUGUUUUCAAUCACUCUUUUGGGAUAUAAGGUGGUUGGAACCGGAUAUUGGUAGGAUACACUGAUAGGAUCACCUGCUUUGUCAUUUACAUAUAAAAAAAAAAAAGAAGUGUCUAGGCCAGCUUAGAUCUCCAUUCACAUGCAAAGUGUAUACAGCUCUUUCAUUACUUCAACUGAAAAUGUUCCAUAUCCUCCAAUUUUACUCCACCAAACCAGGUAACUGGUUUAAUGUCUAACACUUCCUCCAAACGAAGUGGUCAGUUCAAUAACUGCCAUCCUUCAAAACAGUGCAUUUCUUUUUAUCUGAAAUAAGUUCAAAGAACUCAUUAUGCUAGUUCUCCAUUUAAUGUUUUGUAUGUAUUUAUAGUUUCCUAUAUGAACAAAACAGCUCAUGAGCUUUGGAAUAAAACUGAAGAGGAAAUGCUUGUUGACUUACAAGGAAGUACUUGUGCCACUUGAGGCAAUAUUACAUGCUUUGAGACCACUUUUCAGAAAAGUUACAUUUAAAUGUUGCAAAUAGACAUUCCCUGGUGACUGUUUCUCCAUGUGUGUUUUCCCUACUAAACAUGACCCUGACAUCACACUAAGUGAAACUGGCAGGUAGUGCCUUAACAUUUCUAGUAAGAACAUUUUCUGUUGCCAAACAUUUUGCUAGUGUCCCCUAUCAAACAUGGCAA